UGAGGAACAUGACUUUCGGCGGGGGAUAGCCGGCCCAACGGCCGGGUAAUACCGCGUACGACCUUUUGGGGACAUCCCCGAUUGGUGAAAGCAGCAAUGCGCCGAAAGAGUGCCUCGCGGCCUAUCAGCUAGUUGGUGGGGUAAUGGCUCACCAAGGCGACGACGGGUAGCUGGUCUGAGAGGAUGGCCAGCCACAUUGGGACUGAGACACGGCCCAGACCUCCGUACGGGGAGG
rnacentral:rRNA from 1 species